CCGCCGUACGCGGCCGUACUUUGCCUGUCUGUUGUCUGUUACCUGCGUGCGAAUUUAGGGGGAAAAAGUACCACCAACAUGUUCGUCUCGUCUCGUUAACGAAAGUUAGAAUAGAUUUAGUCAUAUUUUUUAUUUUUUAAGAUCGUUUUAGUCUCGUCUUAGUCAUGGAAAAAAGGUUCGUUAACGAAAAAUUUUCAUCGACAAAAUUAACACUGAUUCAGACCCUCGUUGUAGCUAUUUCUAGCCAUGUUAGAUGGCACCGUUGAUAUUUCCAUAAGCUAUAUUUUUUACCUGUACGAGCUGUGUUUAGUAGUAAUUAGCAUUAUUAUUGUGAGCUUGUUAUCAAGCCGACGUUUUGCCCCAGGCACCACUAUUUUUAAGAACAGCGCUUCCCCUCCAAAAGGACAAUCCUCUUCAACUUUGAGAGCAACACAUGUGGCCACCAUCCAGUGGUCAUUAACACCACGCUGCAUUAAUGGCUGAUGCAAUAGUAUCCUAAAAUCAGUGGCACAGAAAAUGAGGUAAGCGUAUGCAGACAUCGCUAUGGGAGUGCAAGCUGAAGGUACACAACAGUUGGCAUCAGUUGACAUCUGGAAAAGAGACAGGCUGCUGACAGGGAGAUUAUCUCUACCAGAGCUGCAGCACAGCGGAAGCUAUCCACUGCAGCUGUGAUGCUCCUCAGGGAGCAUGGACUUUCACAGACAUAGUGAAAAUGAAGGAGCAAACUGUAUUCUAGUGUUACUCUCACUUAGCAUGCGCUGUCACACGAAAAGACGGAGGAGUGAAAAAGCACAUCUAUUGAAGGGACCGGUGAAACGACAUGCAGGGAUCCAGCGAUGACGACUAUAAUCCUGUGAGGAUCUAUCACCUGCAGGGAGCCGUGGUCAGGCCAGUUUGAUGUAAAGAUCUUAAUAAGGAGAUAUAAAAAAUGGUUGAAAGUGUAGAAAAAAGGCCUAUUCAAUACAUGAAUAGUUCGAUCUGUUUUAAUCAUAGUUUGCCUUCCUAGUGACAGAUGACAUCAGAGCUGUUGGAUGUUGCUGUUCUUUAUCUCACUUCCUGCUGAGAUUGUGAAGUACUUUCCAAAAGGCCAAGUGCACUGAGGAAGAUAUUGACAGUUUCGCCACAUACACUAAAAGUCAUUUUAUUCUAUCACACAGUUUUUUUCCUAUCUCCUCAGGCUCAGAAAAUAAUCAGAGGGAGCAUCUGAACUGUUUGAAACCUCCAGUCUACGGCCUAAAGAGGGAUUCAGAUUGGGCUGACCCUCGUAGAGGUCUCCUCAGCUCACAGAUGAGGCCAAAUCAAUGAGGGGCGCAGCGAAACGCAGACAGCAACCCCCCCACCCGCCCCCCUGGGGAGGUGUUUGGAUGCACAGCCAUGGCGAAAAGGCUGCUAGGACUCACAAAACCAUGGGAGGAGAAUAGUUUUGUUUCCUCCAUUGUCUUGUGUAGAUAUUUUUAAAAACGGUAUCUCAGAGAAACAUUUUGAGAGUUAUAGUUAGCUUAAUGUUUGACCUUUUAAAAUGUAGUUCUGACAACUGAGACAUUCCAAGUGGGCCUGCGUGGAUUGGACGUAACCUUAAAAGGACGCUACAUUGUCAGCAGCGCUUGUGAGUGAAAGAGUGCAAUGUGUUUACCAAACCUGGGCUGAUAAAUUGUAGUGCCCGAUGUCAUAUCCACGGCAGAACACAAUCUGAAAGACAUAAUUAUCCCAAAAAGAGAUGUAGAAUGUUGUAGGGUUUCAACAACCAAUAAUUAAAUCGCUAAAAUUAGAGUUGGCAAAUUACUUUAAAUGUUCGGAAAAGUCAAAUAAAAGUGUAGCCCGGUACCUCUUUGUUAUAACAACCUGUCUGUCCAGUUUCUGAAGAUUAUUUGAAUAGUGUAAGUUCUGUUUUGGGGGAAAAAGAGUUGGAAAUGAAUGCUUUGUGUUUUUUUUAUCCAAUUGAUCGAUUGAUAUAAUAAAUAAUCAACAGAUUAAUUGAAUAUUAAAAUAAUUGUUAGUUGCAGCCCUAGAAGGUGGCAAAUUCUACACGUGCAAGCACAACAAACAGGUCAUUCUUUGAUUAUUUACCAAGGGAGCAAGAAAAAGUGUGGGGGUGUCAGAAAUAACAGUAAGCGCGGAGACGGUUUGAAGGCCCGAGUGACGGAUGUGUGGGCAUACUGCUGACUGAAAAGUGCAUUUCACUGGGCAGAAGUAGACAGAGCAAUACAUUAACAACUCAAACGGAUGCUGUUUGCUUUCAUCUUGAGGUGUUGCACCAGUGAUGUAUCACUUCCUUGUAAAUGCUGACCACAACUCAUUCCACCAGAAGACUUAAAAAAGCAACCAAACUGAUUUUGGUUGGAGAGUUGUGCUGAACACACCGAAAAAACAAACAACGUUAUCCAAACAGCAGGAGUCCAACUCUGGCCAGGCUGUGUGCGGUAAACACCCAGGUACAGGGCUUCUUUUGAGCUCACACAGUCAACCCUUCAUUGCUACUCCAUAUGACCACAUGACAUCAGAUAGACCUUCUCCUGUUUUUAUGAAAGGGUCCGCAUAGUAAGGCUCUGUCAGAGAGAGAAUGUUUACAGCAAACAGGACAAAAUUCUAAUAAACAAUUCCCAGAAAGGCCCCCUCCGCUAGACGGAAAAUUACCGAGAGGUUCCUCAGUUUCAGUCAUUUCAAAAUGCAUCAAAUGAAUCUGGAGGAGCUCUGAUUCCUCAAACAGCCGUUCCGUGGUGCUUCCUGAAGGACAAUAGAAAAUCCACCCUGCAAUCCAGCAAAGUGUAUAGGGUUUAUUCAUUCAAUGCCACACUGCCCCGAAGGACAAGAAUCACCCUGCACCCAGAGGGCUUCAGCCACACUGUUGAUCAUUUGUCUGGUUCAGAACUUUGAAUAAACUCCCUCAGCAUCAUGGUUUGUUUUUCAAUGUUCACGAUAUUUCUUUGUCCAGGAAGCGUUGAGGUCCCUGUUCAUCCUCAAGCUACCAUUGACGCCCCUCAAGGCAUCCGACGCCUAUUAUGUUGGAGACAUGGCUGCUUUUCAGACAAACAAUCUCAGUGGAAGCUGCUUCUUCCAGGGCAAAAACCAUUGAACCACAGCCUCAGAGCCUCACCAGUGUCUCCUCCGGGAAGAUAUCUAUUCUAUUCCAGAAGAAGCUGCUGGUGCCCAUAUGGUCCCACAUAUACAGAACACAUCCACAGGAGCAGGGGACUGAAGCACCAAUGUGACAUAGUGUACUUCAUCCUUAAUCCUUACAGUAAUCCCUCAUUGCCGUUGUUGUGCUGUUUCCAAUUGUUUAUCCUGGCAUUUGCCGGAAAGAAAAUAAAUAGCCAUAAUCGUGGCAAAAUCUCAGCAUCACUUUGUCCCUUGAAAGAGGCCGCUCUGAAGGGAAGGCGAUAGUCACAGUAAUAUUUCUUACAGUCUUCCUGCUCCGAUGCAGCCGAAACAGUUUUCCUUUCACCUCCUCUAUUUGAAAAAGUGGAGUAAUCCAGGGAGGAGGGAGAAAC
ensembl:lncRNA